rnacentral:rRNA from 1 species
UACGGGGGGGGCAAGCGUUGUUCGGAAUUACUGGGCGUAAAGGGCGCGUAGGCGGCUUUUCAAGUCGGGCGUGAAAUCUCCGGGCUUAACCCGGAAGGGUCGUUCGAUACUGUUGAGCUAGAGCGUGGAAGAGGCAACUAGAAUUCCGUGUGUAGCGGUGAAAUGCGCAGAUAUCAGGAAGAACACCCGUGGCUAAGGCGGUUCUCUAGUACGGUACUGACGCUGAGACGCGAAAGCGUGGGGAGCGAACAGG